GUGCGUGGAAAUGGCCGGCUCAAGCAGCCGAGACAGAGCAGAGUGUGAGAGAGCUAAUGGAAGUAAGCUGCUGAAGAAACCGUAUUCACCUGCCUAUGGCCCGUGAGUGUUCUUGAAGCUAUCUGGCGUUCAUCCACCCACUCCCCUCGGACCUCAGCAUGGGCUGGAACCUCACCCUAGACCUAACAGAUGCUCUCAUGAGCACUCUUCAAACUCAGAAAUUUCCCUUACGUCAUCACGAGCCGAAGAUUUCUAAUUAAAUUCCUCCCGAGUUCAUUCUGCUUCCUGCCACACUGUGAAAAAGGUGCCUUUCUUCUGGUUUGCCUUCUACCAUGACUGCAAGUUUCCUGAGGCCUCCCCAGCCAUGCAGAACUAACAUUUGGAUACCACUUACCUCUGAGACAGUUCUUUUGGAAAUUAUAAAUAUAUUUCUUUCCGGGGAUCAAAAGAAUCCACAUCAACAUGAAAGAUGAAGUGUUGAAUCUGAAUUCACAGCUGCUUUAUGCAAUCUGGAAAAAGUACGGGAUUUCUCAUUUUAGUUCAGUUCUCAAAGCUUUGUAGAUAGAGGCCUGAAAUGAAAUAUUUGAAUUUUUAAAAAUAUUCUUCUUGUCUGGCUGUGUAAAUGAUUGCAAUCAAUCAGAUUUUCUUUGUUCAAGAAAAAAAACAUGAAAUUACAAUAUGAAUAUUUUUCACAUGUAAUUUUAGUUAUACAGUGGGCAAUGACUGACAGCUUAACAAUGUCCCACUGUGGCAAGAGUAAUGUGUUAUUUUGGGAAAAAUAUUUUUACUUAAGAAAAGUUAACUUGCAAUAAGUUGAUUUUAAAAGUCUCCUUGGAAAAUAAUUUUGAAGGUCACAAAAGUAUAUUUGGAGUCUAUUAUUUUACAAUUUUAUAAACUAAUUUUAAAAAAUGUAUUAAGACCUUACCUGUUACAAAAACAGAAAUCUGCAGCAAAAAUAAAAUGAUCUAUUUCAUGGUUGUUUAUAAUAUACAAA
ensembl:lncRNA LINC01098 long intergenic non-protein coding RNA 1098